AUCAUGGCCCUUACGGCCUGGGCUACACACGUGCUACAAUGGUCGGUACAAAGGGUUGCCAAGCCGCGAGGUGGAGCUAAUCCCAUAAAACCGAUCGUAGUCCGGAUCGCAGUCUGCAACUCGACUGCGUGAAGUCGGAAUCGCUAGUAAUCGUGAAUCAGAAUGCCACGGUGAAUACGUUCCCGGGCCUU
rnacentral:rRNA from 1 species